UAGAUAAUUACUACUGGAGUGUCAAACAUU
rnacentral:piRNA from 1 species